UCUCCACUUUAUCUUGGCUUGGGAGGAGGGUUAGGCUUUCCAGGCCAGGCCUGAAAUACCCACAGAGAGGCUUCCUUUCCCCUGACGAUGGACUGUGCUCCUCGGCCCAGCCAGAUGGGCUGCAGAUGUGAGUUCUGGGUUGCAAGAGAGGCCCAGGGAACAGGCGGGGCGCAGCCCCUUGCACGAGAGGUCAGGCUCCGAGCCGGGUCCCACGAGGCCAUAGAAGCGUCAUGCAGGGGUCCUGUAAGCUCAAGUUCACAGUCUGGGAAACAAGAAGGUGGUGCUGAAGAUACUGUCAUGCUUCCGUGAUGCUGGUAGCUGCCUGUCCAAGAACAUCCCGGGCAACAGCUCUCUCAUCUUGGAGCUGCCAGGUCCGCUUGGACAGAAGCCACAACCUCGUGUCAGCCCUGCAGCCCAGCCAGCCCUGGAGCAUCUGCGAGGUCACUAAACAGCUUCUCCUUCCAAUGGAUUAGGGCCUCCCUGCCCCGCCCUCUGCAGCCUGUUCCAGAAUUCUGGGCCCCUUCCCUCAACUCAUCCUCAAGAGCAGCCAAUGCUGACUUUUACCCCAGCGGACCAGCUGCCAUCAUCAGCCCACUGAGCACGGGACCGCUUGGCUUUCUGCCUUGGAAGGGACAGUGCCCUGACCCCCGGAGAGAUCUCGGGGCUUUGCUUCCGGACAGAGGUGAGGCUCAGCCAGGCUGCGGUUCCACCAGCCACGCUGCGUGACUUUGGAAAAGUCACAUCACCUCUCUGACCUUAGCUUUCUUAGCGGUAGCAAGGAGGGAAUCGAUCCCUACCACUCAGGGCUGGUGGCAAGGUUCGAGAAAACAUGCGUAUGUGCCUAACACAGUGCCUGGUACAUAGCCCCGUGCUUCCGAGGGGCUGUUGCUGUUCUGGGUAGCAUCAUUGCUGCUGUUCUUGGGAGCUGCCUGCCUUCUUUCCUCAGCCUCUCCGUUGGCUCCAGAGUCAGAUAGACCUGCAUUCUAAUCCCAGCAUCCCCUCAGAGCUGCGUGGCCUUGAACAGGUUUCUCAGCAUCUCUGAGGCUGCCUCAGUUUCUCCAUCUGUAAAGAGAGGUUCAGCAAGUGCACGUGACUUCCCCAGAGCCACCUACCAGCAAAGCCACUCUGUUUCUUACACCUGGCCCGGAAUGACGACUUAUCUGAAAAUGAUCUCCUUCUUCAAAGUCUAAAGUCCUGUCUGAAAGUCCAGCCCUCCAGGCCCCCAGUUUACCCUGCCGGAAAAACAAAACAAAACAAAACAACCUAACAGAAACCGGGCAACAGACCCUUGGCAGGAUGGCCAUCUCCUUGGCACCGAUGGAAAUCACAGAUUGGCCUGCCCACCACCCCCACACUGGUGUCACAAAGACUUCAGCGUCCCUUAAUCUCACGACACUUCCGCCAUCCUGGUUGUUAGGGCCCCGUUGUUGCAAGAAUUGCUGUAGAAAUUCAAAUAUCUCUGUGUCAGUUGCUUAUUUGAUAACUGUAUUUGGACCACACUGGUUUCCCUACUGACCCUAUGUAUUUGAUUUUAUGGAUUUUGAAGCAUGAGUCUGCGUUCUUUGUUUUGUUUUUAUUUAAAGAUUUUAUUGAUUGAUUUAUUCAUGAGAGACGCAGAGAGAGAGAGGCAAACACAUAGGCAGAGGGAGAAGCAGGCUCCCUGUGGGGACCCCAAUGGAAGACUCGAUCCUGGGGCCCCGGGAUCAUGACCUGAGCCGAAGGCAGAUGCUCAACCCCUGAGCCACCCAGAGAGUGCCCCUGAGUUCUUUGUUUUGAAGAAACAAAUCAGGAGGAGAAUUUCUUGGUGAGACAGAUAUCUAGACCCAGGGUAGGCAAACUAUCUGCUGCCUGUGAUUGUAAAUAAAGUUUAUUGGAACACAGGCUUCAGCAUACUGUUGAAAAGUUGACGGUGUACACAGAUACGCACGCACACAUGAGGUUAGGAACCCCUGUGGUGGCCUCAGUUUUCUUGUCAAUGAAAUAGUCAUCAAGAGUGCCUGCCUUCUGGCAGAUCCGAGAUCACUUACAUCAGUGCAUGUGCGAGCACCACAUUGGAGAUACUCAGUUGAUGCCCGCCUCCCCUUUCCUUCUUGACGGGCUGUGCUCUUCCAACCCAGGACCAAGAACCUGAGUGUUUGCCACCUGCUUUUUGCCGCCUCCCGGGCAGGGCCUCUUGCCACGCGCUGGCUCGCACCGGUCUCCAGGCAUAAAACACCCCUCCCGCUUGCCAUGACACAUGUCCAGUGAGAUGGAGGUUGACAAGGCCACAAAUAUUUGAACUAUCCUUGGGAUAACAUGGGGCAUUGACCCCAAAGUAUGUGCUACAUCGGCCGAAAGUUUAUCCUAGAAUAACAAACGUGACAGCUAGCAAAGUGAGCAGGGGAAAGGGUCCGAUAAGAUAAAAGGCACCCAGAGAGUCCAAAGGCACAGCCCCCUGCAGGGAGGAAGAAAUUCAGGACCCAGCGUGGCAUCAGGGGAGGCAAGGCCGUGGAGUCAAACAGUCCAAUUUCUAGAAAGUUCCCGGCAACCAGCGCAUGGUGCAGGUUGUAUGUACAAACCCAGCUUUGUUUCUGUGUGACCCUGGGUAGUUGUGACAGCAAGGUGCUAAGCUUCCCAUGUGGCUGAGAAAAUUCAGAGGGAGCACUCUAGAGCAUUUAAUGUGUAUUCACACGCUCGGAACAGAGUGAGCCUUCAGCAAAGGCUGCUCUCAUUGCUCUCAACUCCUAACAUCGUGAUCCGGGCACGUGGAGUCUAGUUGUUAAUCUCCCAGACUCAGUGGUCAGACCACCAGCUUUGCUAGUUAAAAUUAUGUGCCCUUGGGCUGCUUUAUCUCUUUGUGCCUCUGCUUUUUACCAUGCUGGGGCAGCAUCCGCACCUUGUAGGGUAGUUGUGGGAAUUAAUUAAGAUUGUAUGUGAAAAAGGCUUAGGCCAGAGCCUGACCCGAAACAAACAUAGAAUAAAUGUUGGUAAUAACCAUUACUCCCAUCAUCAUCAUCAUCAUCAUUGCCAUCAUCAUCAUAGAUCAUCACAAAAUGGACAUGGAGGAAGGGGACCUUGGGAAGAAACAAAUCAAGGGGAGAAUUUCUGGGUGAGACAGAUAUCUAGAGGGGGGUAGGCAAGCUAUCUGCUGCCUGUGCUUGUAAAUAAAGUUUUAUUGGAACACAGCCAUGCCCAUUAGUUUAUUCAUGGUCUACCACUUCUCUCAUACGCAACAGCAGAGCUGAAUACCCUCUGGCCCUUUAGGAAAAAAUUUGUCAUCCCCUGGUGUGGAGGAAUGGUGGUAUCUUAACAAGAUGCUCCGAGAAGUUGCUAAUGAGCUACUUGACGCCUCUGGUUUGAAGUCGGCCGACCCGUGGCCUCGACACUGUCACCUCACCUCCAGCCACCGGCUAUGUUCCACACGCCACCAACACUUUGGCCAGGGGGAGGGGACAGAUGGCUCAAUCAUCUCACUGCAGGCCGGCACCCCGCCUGGAUCAGCCUGAUGGACGGCAGUAUUGACAGUCUGGCUGACCCUUGCUCGACAGGCUGACAUUUCCCCAUAUUUCACGGGCCGACAUUGGAUGUGCAUCAAAGAGACUGCCGGGUCACCAAACAGCUAAUUAAGGCAAUAAAGAGACAGAAGGCCAAAUUGCCCCUUUCCCCCUCGGGAGCCCGACAUCCCUUGUAGGGAACCUGGUGCUUCUCUUUUCUCUGAAGGUACAUUUCAAGGGGUUUUUGGGAAUGAUCCCAGCCAACCCUGGGAUCAGAAAAAGGGACAAGGCGAAAAUCCAUGUUAUCUGGAUAACAUCUCCCCCACCCCCACCUCUGGAUCCAGCCCUGCCUCCGUGAUUGUUGGGUUUUUAGGAGUCCAAUCUGACUUGCGCAAGGUUGAGUCCCCAAGGCUCAGUCCUCCGGGAGGACUGUUUGGAUAGAGCCACUUGGACUCCAAUGGCAUUGAUCAUUACCAGGUCUACGUGACUGCGGGCCACGGCCAGUGAGAUUGAAGGCGUCCGGUGGCCCAGCUCACCUUGAUCACCCUGGCAGUAAGAUAAACACCCGAAUAUGGAGCGGGACGCUCCUGGCCACGUGUCCCAGCCCCACCACGUGCUAGCUGUGUGGCCUUGGCCUAGUUUCUUGACUAUUCUGAGCUGUGGUUUCAUCAUCUCUAAAUAGCAGGUGCAGCUAGUGUCAACUUUGGAGGGUUGCUGCAAAGACUGAACCGGUGGGUUGGUUGAUUCUUGACUCCAGCUUCACAAUAGAAUCACCGGAGGUGCUUCUGGAACAUAUCUUUGUCCAAGCCCAGCCAAGACAAACCAAUUGAGAAUCUCUGGCUUUGGGUCGUGGGUGUCCUGUAUGUUUUUCAAAAAUCUCUUCGGAUGAUUAUUGUGUGCGGUUCAAGGCUAAAAAUCACCACGAUUGCUAGGCUCUCCCCAGGGCCGGUGCACAGCGGGGACUUUGGGAAGGUCAAUCUUACUUUCCUCUCCCUGUACCUGUUUGUUUGUUUGGUUUUUUUCCCUAAACCUCUCCUGUACCUGCCUUAAGGGAAAUACGUGGGACACAUGACUUUGAGCAGCCAAUUUCCCAGGCAUCCAGUAAAGAGAGUUGGAACAUGGUUUUCAACUGGAGGACUUUCACUGGCAAGCUAUGACUGGGAUUCGGGUUCUCUCUCCUCCACAAAGACUGUCCCAGCUCAGCCUUUUCCAGAGUCCUGUGUGGGCCCCGCUCAGUACUAUUUUUCGACAUAGCUCAAAGAAGCUGCUCACUUCAAAUCACAGGUGGCCUCAGGGGCCCGCGGCGCCUACUCCAGAUGUCACAGUGGCCCUACAGCACUGCUGUGGGGACCUGACUCACACCCAGCUGUGUUAGGUGGGCAACUGGACAGAAGUCCCGUUUGGACCAGACUGCAAAAAAGUGAGGGUGACCUAUUUGCCAAUAGGUCUUGCACGUGCUCCAGACUGUCCAUCAGAGCCAUGGGGGUUGACCACCUAUUUUCAAGUGUCUGGAAGAUUUCCACCCGGGGGACCCGGGCUGGGUGACAACCUCCAAUGAAAUGAUGAAGCCACCUGUUGCUUCCCCGGCCAAGUACUGCUUACAUGUCUGCCUGUCUGCCUGUGUGCAGGCACACGAGGAUCUGUAUGCACACAUAGUCUCAUCCAAGGGUGAUUGUGUGUGAGUGCAUACACAGGCGUGUGCACGCAUGGAUAUUCAUGUUGCAGACAUUUAUGUAAGUGCAUGCGUG